GACGAACGCUGGCGGCGUGCCUAAUACAUGCAAGUAGAACGCUGAAGAGAGGAGCUUGCUCUUCCUGGAUGAGUUGCGAACGGGUGAGUAACGCGUAGGUAACCUGCCUUGUAGCGGGGGAUAACUAUUGGAAACGAUAGCUAAUACCGCAUAACAAUGGAUGACACAUGUCAUUUAUUUGAAAGGGGCAAUUGCUCCACUACAAGAUGGACCUGCGUUGUAUUAGCUAGUAGGUGAGGUAAUGGCUCACCUAGGCGACGAUACAUAGCAGACCUGAGAGGGGGAUCGGCCAAACUGGGACGGAGAAACGGCCCAGACCCCUACGGGAGGCAGCAGUAGGGAAUCUUCGGCAAUGGGGGCAACCCUGAACGAGCAACGCCGCGGGAGUGAAGAAGGGUGUCGGAUCGUAAAGCUCUGUUGUAAGUCAAGAACGGGUGUGAGAGUGGAAAGUUCACACUGUGACGGUAGCUUACCAGAAAGGGACGGCUAACUACGUG
rnacentral:rRNA from 1 species